UUCUCUAAAUUCAUCCCAAAGGCCCCCUUGCCGCUGCUACCGCGGUCUGCUCCUCCGCGAACUCUCUACCGCCCUCCUCAAUCUUCAGCUCCGGCCGCGGGUCAUGGUUUCACUUCCUUAGGGCUACUCUUUCCGGCGAAUCGCGUCCAAGGUUCGGUGGCUCUGAGCUUUUCACUGGGCUCUUUAAUUUUCCUGAUAGCGUUGGAGGGGAAAAGAAGGCAGUGACAUCGAAGCGAGGGGUUUGGACGUCUUCGCAUGGCUUGAACGCCGAGUCCGUUGGUGUUUUUUCUCGCAGUCUGUGGUUUGACAGAUCGAAGAGAGCUAUAUAUCUGGUUACGUUCCUACAGACGACGCUAAAAUGAUCCUAUCUGAAUGAAGGAAGUUGGAAAGCCGGGGAUGGGGUGACCACUGACGAGAUGAAGACUUCAAUUCUACAAAACAAAAUCAAACCGGGGAAGGGGUCCUUGGCGUUGGCCCUCCGACGCUCAAGUCAAAAUCAGAAAGAGAGAAUGAGUAAUCAGUAAAAAUGAGAAAUCUUGCCUUCCUCAUACCUAGCGUACCCUUUUAUUCCUUUCUCUGUGAUCGUUCAUCUGUCCUUAUUUAAUGAUAUUAAUUGUUAGAGGAAGAUUUCUUUAUCUUGACUUUCGUGCAUUGAUGAUAAAUGUAGUAUUUUUCUUUGU